GGUCAGACCGGUUCAGUUGGAGGAGCACCUGACUAGAGAUUCAGGGGGCCCGGGUUCGAAACCCGGUCUGGUCA
rnacentral:tRNA from 1 species